AACUUUGGGUAUAAUUUGUUGUGCAGCAAUAAAUAGCUAAUAUACAAUAUUUCCACUGAGAAGUUAACUGUUAUUUUGAACUCUGAAUCUCAUAUAGACCAGUGUUCACUUUAUCUUACUCUCUCUCUCUCCUCUCUCUCACUCUCUGUCUCUGAAAUUUCUUCAGAUUUUUUAUUUGUUUCUGGUGCUCUUACUUUUCACAAUGUUGGAACUUAUUGAUGGUUCUGUCUGUGUCUAUUGGGCUGGACAUGCUUUAGGAUCUUUUAUAACCUGUACUCAGUUUGAGUAGUUUCUUGGGUUGAUUCCGUUUUGAUUUUCUCAUUUCUUUGGAAAUUUAUAAUUUUAAAAUUUUGGACCACUGAGAACAUUUUUAAAUUGUCUUAAUCUAACUUUCCACUUCUAUUCUUUUGCCUAUUCUUCUUAGAUAAUUUUUACACUUUAUUUUCAAGCCCUUCUAUUAAUAUUUUUAUUUCUGCUGUGUUAUUUCUAAGACUUACAGAUUUUAUAAUGCUAUUUUUUAGCAUCUCUCCUAUUUUGUGGAUAUGUCAUCUUUUCUCUCUGAAUAUGAUAAUGAGGCUUUCAUUUGUUUUCUAAGUUUUUAUAUCCCUAGGUAUUUACUGUUUUGAUAAUUUUUUCUUCCCUGUUUGUUUGCUUUGCUUUUUUCUUCCAAGAUAAAGCCUGGAAGCUGCACGUCACCUGCCAGCUUUGUGUGUGCCCAGUGAGUGCAGGUGGCAUAAUGACCAGCGGUGACUUGAAUGACAAGGGGACAGAACAGCUGGACAAUCCAAUUCCUAGAUGCUUUCUCCAGUUAUGGCCCUGACUGGGAUCUCCGAAGAAUGACUCAGCUGAAACUAUUUCAUCAUUGCCUACAUUUGUCUUCAGACGACCUGCAGUACAAACUUGGCUUAAACCUGCAGUUGACAAUGGAUUCACCGUGGGAGAAUAAAUUACAAUGGAUAAAAAACAGCAUUACAAUCCCUCAAUAAAAUGGGAUUUUAACAGACAAAGCUGAAUCUCCAUGUGCUCUCUCUCUCUUCUAACAUCAAUGCAGCUCCUGGUAUGUGGUCGUUCUCAGGCCCAAAGGCCCAUUUUGCUUUUGGCUGCAACUCUGUAACUCUGUAACAGAGACCAAGUGCCUGCAGGGAGCAGAUGUUUGGGGCAGUAUCUGCUAAGGUGGCUUUGCUGAAACUUGUUUCUCUCAUUGGGUCUUGGAAGUGGCGAAUAGGACGUUCCUAUAGAAAAACUCAGAAAGAUAAUGAAGCUGCUAUUUGCAAGAACUGCAUCUGUCUGACUCUCAGACAGAUCUACACCAGUGUUUAGCAGACAUGCCAAAUGAUAAGAGUCAAUCACAGCCUCUGUAGAAAAUACUGGAACCCUGAUGUGGACUUACUGAAUCAGAAUCUCCAGGCAAUAAGCUUGAGAUUCUCUGAGACUGUGAAAGAUAAUCUUAAAGAGGCACUCACGAAACACAAGCUCCUUCUCCGGGAAAAAGAAUCAUCACCCUUGUUAUCCCAUGAAAAUUCAUCUUCUCCUUUUCAGCUGAUAUGAGGACUUGAUCUGUCCUUUCCUAUAAGUGCCAUCUGUGUUUAAAUGAGGCUGUUACUCUAACUCAAAGCAGACUUGCAAGAGUAAAAUAAUCAAUCUUCAUCAUAUUGCUGCACUUUCGACAGUUAAUUUUCUAGAGUAAUUUGUCAUUGUGAGGAGCAUAAGAUUUGUCUGAAUUUGUGUCAAAGGUUAUUGACUGAAUUGCCACCUCAUCUUUUCAGUCAAUCUAUAAAUAUGGGCAAGUUUGGGCAGAGGCUAAUGGCCUUCUCACUAAGGGGAUGAGAUUGUCCAAGUUAGGCAACUGAUAAGAGGUAGAAAUAUCUAUUGUGUCACCCAUUUCUUGUGGUAGCAUUGACUUAGAGUUAAUCUCAGAAACUUCACUUAACCUUCUUAAUCCUUUUCUUCCUGUAAAACAAGGCUAAAAAUUGUCAUAACUAUAUUCUAGUUUCCACAAAAGCUAAUCUAAGUAUUAAAAUUUUUAUUGUGACUUUGUGAGAGUGAUCCUGUAUUUUUCACAAAACUAAGAAGAAAAUAUUUUUAUUUAGUGUUUUUCUAUGAAUAGCUUUUGGUUUUUGGAAAAACCAUCUGAUCUUUAUUACUAAGAUUCUUGCUUCUUAGGUCAAAUUCUUGUUCCCUGUCUUUAUAUAGAGUCUAAUAUUGGGAACAUACCCAAGGACCACAUGGAUAAUUUUAUGAUGCUUGCUGACUAUUAUGUUUCUUGCCCACUUUAAUAGCCUAAUAAUAAUAGUUACGAAUUCUUAUUGAGAAAUAGCCAUUCUUAAUCAAUGCCAAUGACAGUGUUUCCUCUUUCAGACUGAAGGAAAAACAGGGAGAAAACCAGUUCAUAUAUUAUGGUUAAACACUGAUAAAACAUUUUGGUUAAAUAUCUGCCUUCAUGGGUUAUUGCAAAAUAGAUUAGUUUAAAGCUCAUCUAGCCCUGAAAUAUACAGUUAGAUUAUUUUUUAUGGAUUUCAAUUAUUUUUAUUUCAUUACAGUUAUUUUUUUUUCAAUACAUGGCCUGUUUGAAGAUACAUCAUAGUAAUGGUAACAGCAGCAACCACUGCAGUAAAUAACUGACAAUUGCUGAACAAUUCAUGUCUGCCAUGCCAUGCUAUGAGGGCCUUAAGGAAUAAAUACAACUUAUAUUCAUAAUAAACAUAGGAGGUUGUAGAAGGCUAAAUAAUGGGUCACCAAAGAUACCCACAUCCCAUAAUUCCUGUAACUGGUGACUAUGUUACCUUGCAUGGUAGAAGGGAUUUUGCAGUUGAGGUUAAGGUUAAAGACUUUAUAAAGGCAGAUUAUCUUGGAUUAUCUGGGUGGGUCUUUAAAAGCGGAAGAGAAAAGCAGAAAAGCAAGUCAGACAGACAGAUGCAACUACAGAAGAGACAGUAGGGACUCAACUCAAAUGACUAACUUUGAAGAUGGAGGAGGUGGUCCAUGAGGCAAGGAAUGCACUUGCUUCUAGAAGCUGGGAAUAACCCACAGCUAGAAGCAAAGUAGGAAAUGGAAGUCUCAAUUCUACAUCGUAAGGAAGUGAAUUCUGCCAAUAACUUGAAAGAGAAGGAAAUAGAUUCCCUCCAGAGGCUCUAGAAAAUAAUGUAUCCCUGCUGACACCUUAAUUUGAUUUGAGCCCCAUGAGACCCACGUUGGACUUCUGACUUAUGGAGCUUGUAAGAUAAUAAAUUUGCAUUGUUUCAGCCACUACAUUUGUGGAAAUUUGUUACAACCACAAUAGGAAACUCAUAGAAUAGUAAUCACUAGUAAUAUCUUCAUUUAACAGUUGAGGAAAUUGAGGCAGGACAACACAAGUUAUAAAAAUUAUCUCAGUUCUUAGUAGAGUUCCUGGCAUAUGACAAGCAGUUAAUGUCUUUGUAGAAUGAAUGAAUGAAUAAAUAAAUAGAUUUUUUCUUAUGCUUUCCCAAA
rnacentral:lncRNA from 1 species